rnacentral:lncRNA from 1 species
CCAACCCCAGAUUUGUUCCACCUGGGUGCAUCCGGUCAGAGAAUGCCUUUCUUCUUCCCUUUUGUCUCCUAAGAGUGAAGAAAAUGUUUCUUUGAAGGUGUUUCCACCCCACUCCUGUGCCUAAAAUGAUCCUGGCAAACAGGACCCGCAUGAUAGGUUGAGCCAUGUGGUUCUUGUUUUUUUGUUGUCACAACUCAGGUUGGGGGUGUUACUGGCAUCAAGAGUGUAGAAACCAGGGAUGCUGCGUCAACACCCUACCAUGCACAGGACAACCCUCACCCCAAAGAGUGGCACAGCCCCAAGUGUCAACAGUGCUGAGGUUGAGGAAUCCCAGCUUAACCCAUUCAUGAGACCACCUGAGCCUGGUGUAACGGUUCUGCUGAUAGUUUCCGGACCCUCAGAGGUGGAGACAUAAGAGAACAAUACCAGGGUUCCAUCAGAAAGGAAAUCAGAAUGGCUAUCGGGUGGACAACCUACAGUGUUUGCUACAGACCUUCUAGAUGUAACUUCUAGAUUAUAAACACUGGUAACACUGGAGAUGGUUAAAUCGGAAUUAGCUGACUGUCAACCUUGGUGGCACAUUAGAAUCACCUGGGGAGCAGUUCAAAGGCCCAAAACUGGGCAGCACCACAGAACCCUCACAUCAGAAUCCCCAUGGGUGGGCCCAGACAGCAGUGUUCAUCUUAGACUCCAGUGUGCAGUCGAGGUCGAGAACUGCAUUCAAGAAGGCCUGUCUACUGCGAACCGUCCGAUGAUGUAAUUCACCAAGUUCCAUGGGAUUCCGCCACGCCCGUGUCAACCCAGCUGACACGUCCAACUUGGACAAUCAGGGCUUUGACCCCCGUUACCUGGCAUUCAAUUCAAUCCAUGUGUCACGCAUGCCCCAACAAUUUGUGUCCCAACUGUUUGAAUCAAAGGAUUUCUGAUUCCCUGAUGGGUGAUGACUCAGUAACCGGAUUCAGCUUCAGAUCUGCCUGACAUUUUUCCUGCCUGUCCUGGGCCAGGUAUGGCGCUAGCUGCUUUCACCUGUAUCAUCUCAUUCACUGCUCAGAGGCUCUCGAAAGCUGUUGACAUUAUCAAAAAGUUUUCCAGCUGGAAUUCAUCUCCCUCUAAUCAGCCUUCAAAACCUCCAUUUGUAAACCAUUGCUGUAGUUUUAUUACCUCUUACCUUGGUCUUUACAAGUUGCUGUCAAAACCCAGUAAGUGUUUACAGAAAGAAACUUUACAUAUUAAAUAUCUUAAAGGUCUUUUAUGCAGAAUAUGCAGUUAAUUUUGAUGGGCUAUGGAUAAUCAUCAGAAGAGCCAUUUCUGGAAAUGUAAAUAAUAUGGCUGUUUCUUUUAACAGUGCAUUCUCCUGAAAACAUAAGACCAUUUGACUGAUUCUGCUCCAGAAUCUUAUUGAGGCAAAGGACUGGACCGAAUUAUUCAUGGAACAGAAGCCUAGGACUGAUAGGAAACACCCAGGGAGAAGGCCACGUGAUGAUGGAGGCAGAGACUGGAGUGACGCAGCUGGGAGCCAGGGAACAUCAACGAUCACCAAGUGUCUCCAGGAACCAUCAGGAGCUGGAGGGGCGGGAAGGAUCUUCCCGGGAGCAUGGAUUUGUAGACACCUUGAUUUUGGACUUCUGCCCUCCAGAACUAUGAAAGGGCAGGACAGCCGUGUCCUACAUUUCCCGCCAUUUCCCCAUGGUGAUGGAGCUGCAGGGGUCCUGAGAGAGGGACGCUCACAAGGUCCCCGCACCACUUCCCGAGGGUCCCAGAAUGACAGAUUCGUAUUCUAAAGGUGAGUCUGUCAAUUGCAUUCUGCCCUAUGGCAGUCCGGCCAAGGGGGUGGCACCGCAGAGCCAGGAGGGCAAUCCCAGUUCACGGUCACCAGGCUCAACCGCAGGCAACGGGCUGGUUGCAUUCGUGUGGCAGGUCCUGGCUCCCCUGUUGUGUAGACAGGAGCGCGCGGUGAGCGGAGUGUCGGCCACAAACUCUUGCCCUGGGCGUGGCCAUGUGACUUGGUUGAUCCAAUGGGAUAAGAGCGGGGAUGACAGAGCCCGCCCCAUCCUAGGUCCCUGCCUGAGAUGCUGGAGCUGAGCGUCCCAGCCACGUGCGCAUGCUGGAGCGGAGGGGCUGUGCCUGGCCAGUGCUGCGUAUGGGGGGGCGCCUCCGUUUCAUGUCUGGUCAGUUUAGGGACGCCGCAUCAUUGCAGCAAAAGCCUGACUCCAUACCGCUGAGAAAUCACCGUGGCUAAUGCAGAAGCUGAAGUAGGGCUGUCUUCCAUGUGACUCUGGCAAAAAGUCAUAUGAGUUAUUCAGGUCACAUGACAGGCCCCCCAACCCUGAUCUGAAGGUGGCCACGUGGUGAGGCAGGCCAAGCAGAGUGCUUUUCCCAGCGUCGGUACCAAGGUGCGUUUCUUUUUCGAAAUCACAGCUGUAGGAGGCGGCAGCCUGGGCUCCCUGUUGCGGGGCGGAGUCUGUGGUGGGACAUCCGAGACGAAGCCACUUUACUCAUUAGGUGUAAACGGCCCAGCGCUGGGGCCUACGGACUUCUCAGGACCUGUACAUUUAUGAGAGACUUUUGUGGGGAAGGGGAUGGUAUUGAUACCAAAGUGAAAUUCCGAGGUCCAACACGUUUGAAUCAAUAUCUACAAAAGAUACCAUUAUACCAACCUCAUUAACAGGUAUAUUUAGCAUUCAUAGAAUGUUGUGUUGGUGAGUAAGUUGUAGGUGCCACAAAAAUUCCCAAGUAUGCGGGAUAACUGCUGAGAAAUCAUAGCCAGCAGUAGAGGGAGUGACUUGCUGUGGAAUGCCUCGGGGAGGAAGGCUUCAGUAGCGGGUAGCACAGACCCCCUUGAUGCUGGGUCAAACCAAUAGGGAGGUGUUUUUCUCACAAAGCCAGAAGUCUGAAGGGGAGAGAUCACUCACGUGUAUUUAGCUGGAGAUAGCCACUCACUCAUUUCUGAACCAAAUGCUGGUACAGACAAUGAGACUGAGAUUUUAUUUAACAAAACGCUCUGUGCCCGGUAUCAUCCUAAGCACUUUACAGUAUGAACUCUGUCCUCUUACAGCCCUAUGAAAUGUCUGUAAUUAUUAUCCGCACACUUUACAGCCGAGGAAACUGUGGCCCAGAGAGGUGAGGUUACUUGCUCAAGAUUGCACAGCAUGUAAAUACAAAGGCUGGGAUUUUAACCCAAGCUGUCUGACUCCAGAGUUGACAGCGGUACACACCACACUCCUGUCUCUCGAUGCCAUUGGAGGAGGCAGAUGCAUCCGGGAGCCAGGGGAUGGAGCAGCUUCUCCUGAGGGGUGGACUGCUUUGAGCACAGGGAAGAUUCCAGAGUGAAACUGGAAUUCCUUUAGGAAGAACAGGAACGGAUGCUGAGCAGGUCCCAGUGCUGCCCCUCCUCUCUCCACUCCUCCCUCCUCCCCUUGUGCUCUUACUCCUCUCCCUUUGCCACCUCCCUGGGGAGGUGCUUGCAUAAACUGGGAAACUUAAAAUCCAAUAACUGCUCCUCUCCCACCUGCGACCCUCAUCAUCCGGUCUGCCCUUGACCUUCGCUUUCCACUUCUCAGACUUCCAUUUGCAUAAUAAAAUGACUUU